rnacentral:rRNA from 1 species
AUUGAACGCUGGCGGCAUGCUUUACACAUGCAAGUCGAACGGUAACAGGUUAAGCUGACGAGUGGCGAACGGGUGAGUAAUGCAUCGGAACGUGCCCGAUCGUGGGGGAUAACGCAGCGAAAGCUGCGCUAAUACCGCAUACGAUCUGAGGAUGAAAGCGGGGGACCGUAAGGCCUCGCGCGAUCGGAGCGGCCGAUGUCAGAUUAGGUAGUUGGUGGGGUAAAGGCUCACCAAGCCAACGAUCUGUAGCUGGUCUGAGAGGACGACCAGCCACGCUGGGACUGAGACACGGCCCAGACUCCUACGGGAGGCAACAGUGGGGAAUUUUGGACAAUGGGCGAAAGCCUGAUCAAGCAAUGCCGCGUGCAGGAAGAAGGCCUUCGGGUUGUAAACUGCUUUUGUACGGAGCGAAAAGGUCUCCUCUAAUACAGGGGGCUCAUGACGGUACCGUAAGAAUAAGCACCGGCUAACUACGUGCCAGCCGCCGCGGUAA